rnacentral:tRNA from 1 species
GGGGCAUUAGCUCAGCUGGGAGAGCGUCUGCUUUGCACGCAGAAGGUCAGCGGUUCGAUCCCGCUAUGCUCCA